UGCUGCUGGCUGCUACUUGCUGCUGCUGCUAAGGGCUACUGCUGCUCAGUUGUGCAUGCUGCCUGCUACUGCAUGCAGCCCUUGUUUGCUUCACAAAUGAGGCUGUUGUGCACUUCUACUGAUGAUGCUGCCCUAAUCCUGUAGCUGCUACUGCAUGCUGCUGCCCUUAUUUUUCUGCUACAUGCAAGAUAAGGAGCUGCUGUCCAAGAGUUCAGAUGCUGAUGUGGCUGCUUGAACCCAGAUGGUGGAACCGGUGCUGAGGCAGGAUUGGACUUUGGCGGCGGUUGUGAGGCUCGUGUCUAUGAGACAUUGGGUUGAUGAUGGAUUUCAUUACUGUUAUUCGGUAAUUUCUAUUGAUGUACAUUGAUGUUAUAUGUACAUCAAUGUAUUCAAAAGAGCUAGAGGUAGGCCAAAGGAAAGACAUACACAAAUUAGGCCUUGUCCCAAGUAUGGUUUUGAAUAGAGCAGAUUAGAGGGCUAGAAUCCAGGUAGCGGACCCGCUUUAGCUGUGCCUUACUUUGCAGUGAUUACUAUUUUGUCUCUUUUAUCGCCUUCCUAUUUUUUCUUUUUUUUGGCUUUGCUUGGAUCCAUGUAGCCGACCCCAUUAAGUUGGGACAAAGCUUUGUUGUACAUUGAUGUUAUAUGUAAGAGGUAAAUAUUACACCUGUGGGUUGUUAAUAAAUGAAUUUUUGUAUAUUUGUAAUUUAUCAC